AUGAGUUAGUCGAGCUAACUUCGAGUCAGACGAACAUCUGCCCGGCGAGUUUCAGGGAGGCCGAACUAGCUGCCGAGUAUUUUUCUGUGUGGCAUUGUUACUUGACAAAUUCUGCUUUUGAAUGUGUUGUUUUUUUAAAAAACAUAUACAAUAGGCCAGCUGAUUAAAAUGUACAUUGGUAGUACUGAGCCAAACGAUUUGUGUAUAGAGCCGUUUAUCUCCGCUGUAGCAAAUGAAAGAGAAAACAGAAGAGACGUCAGGUGUUUCCCGGAGUUUUCUAAAGAACUGCAGUUCUACACCUCGGCGGCUUUCUUUGGCGAAGGUUUCGCUUGAAACUUCUCACAAAGGCAGUGAGCAUCCUUUAUCUGACAAGUCGUACUAUGUAAACACAUUUUACAUAGCAGGCCGAGCCUGUCUCACUGAAUGCAUAUUUUGCAUUCUUGAUGAAAAUAUGCUAUUCUUUGUGUAAACAUAAUUAAAUAUUUCGAAUGCCGUGACUCAAGUCGUAACAACAACUAGAUUAAGGCUUAAGAACAAAAUAGCCAAAUAUACUACACAAAGCAAUGUAGUGUGCAAGUCCUUUUCUCUGGCUGUGGGGUAGGGGCAGGCACAGACAUGAGGAGACUUUGAAAAGCCUGGAGUCCGUACUUAACUGUAGUUAUCCAAUAGAAGAUGGAAGUUAUGGACAGGAAAAGGCUCAGGCUAAAAGAAGAUCCAGCAAAGUGUUUGUUGCCAUGAGAUAAGUACUUGCUGUCAAGAUGGGCCAGUAAAUUAGAGCUUUAAACGGGAGAUCUCCACACAAGACCAAUGGAAUCACAAG